rnacentral:rRNA from 1 species
CCUACGGGUGGCAGCAGUGGGGAAUAUUGCACAAUGGGGGAAACCCUGAUGCAGCGACGCCGCGUGAGUGAAGAAGUAUUUCGGUAUGUAAAGCUCUAUCAGCAGGGAAGAAAAUGACGGUACCUGACUAAGAAGCCCCGGCUAACUACGUGCCAGCAGCCGCGGUAAUACGUAGGGGGCAAGCGUUAUCCGGAUUUACUGGGUGUAAAGGGAGCGUAGACGGCCAGACAAGUCAGAAGUGAAAGCCCAGGGCUCAACCCUGGGACUGCUUUUGAAACUGCGGGGCUGGAGUGGGCGAGAAGUAUGCGGAAUGCGUGGUGUAGCGGUGAAAUGCAUAGAUAUCACGCAGAACUCCGAUUGCGAAGGCAGCAUACCGGCGCCCAACUGACGCUGAAGCACGAAAGCGUGGGUAUCGAACAGGAUUAGAUACCCGAGUAGUC